CUGGGAGGAUUUUGAUUUGGAGAAAUUUUGGUAGUAGAACAUUCUUUAUGGGUGAUGGACUAAUGAAUGGAAGAGCAAUGACCAAUGAAGAUGAAAGAUGAAUGGUUUGUGAUGAUGAUGAUGACGUUUUCUACUUGGAUGGGAAUGCCAUCGACUUUGCUGAAUGGAACUGGAUAAAGGAGAAGGAACUCCAAGAAACCUGGGAGUAAUGUGCAUGGAAACUUCAUCAUUCUUGCAAUGUCGUGGUUCUUAUAAAAUCAUAUGAGGCUUCAAGUUCAUUUUCUGAUGACACGACAUAAUUAUAAUGCUAUGUAAGAGGAUAUGGUAUGACAAUACAGAACAGUUUUGUCAGAAACUGGGCGAGCAGGUCAGCAUUUUUGCCUAUCAGUAAUGAUAGCAAACCCAAGAAUAGCCCCACGUACAUCCAGAUUCUGCAUGCAUGGUUAUCUUUCGGUGUGCCCCCACACAUGCAUGCA
rnacentral:lncRNA from 1 species